GCUUAGAGUUUGAUCCUGGCUCAGAUUGAACGCUGGCGGCAUGGCUAAAACAUGCAAGUCGAACGACAUAGUGGCGAAAGGGCGAGUAAUGCGAUCGAAUGUACCCCGAGGUGGGGGAUAGCGUCGGGAAACUGACGGUAAUACCCCAUGUGCUCGCAAGAGGAAAGCUCCGGCGCCUCGGGAGCAGCGAUCGUCCUAUCAGGUUGUUGGUGAGGUAACGGCUCACCAAGCCGAAGACGGGUAGCGGGUGUGAGAGCAUGACCCGCCGCAUCGGGACUGAGACACUGCCCGGACUCCUACGGGAGGCUGCAGUAACGAAUCUUCCGCAAUGGGCGAAAGCCUGACGGAGCAAUGCCGCGUGUGGGAUCAAGCGGUUACACCGUGUAAACCACUGUCAGGGUCGAGCACCACCGAGCAGACCCAGAGGAAGGGCCGGCUAAUUCCGUGCCAGCAGCCGCGGUAAUACGGAAGGCCCGAGCGUUAAUCGGAAUCACUGGGCUUAAAGCGUCCGCAGGCGGACCGGUAGGCAUCUUGUGAAAGCCCACGGCUCAACCGUGGAAUUGCAGGGUGAACCCCCGGUCUCGAGGCAGGUAGGGGUCAGCGGAACUAUGGGUGGAGCGGUGAAAUGCGUAGAUAUCCAUGGGAACGCCAAUGGCGAAGGCAGCUGACUGGGCCUGUCCUGACGCUCAGGGACGAAAGCGUGGGUAGCGAACGGGAUUAGAUACCCCGGUAGUCCACGCCGUAACGAUGCACACUAGAUCGGGGAGGUUUUCACGCCGUCCCGGUCGGAGCGAAAGCGUUAAGUGUGCCGCCUGGGGAGUACGGUCGCAAGGCUAAAACUCAAAGGAAUUGACGGGGGCUCACACAAGCGGUGGAGCAUGUUGCUUAAUU
rnacentral:rRNA from 1 species